rnacentral:rRNA from 1 species
UUAACAAAAACAUGUCUUUUUGCUUAUAGUCUAAAGUCUGAUCUGCCCAAUGAGUAGUUAAAUGGCCGCGAUAUUUUGAUCGUGCGAAGGUAGCAUAAUCAUUAGCUUUUUAAUUGAAAGCUGGAAUGAACGAUUGGACGAGAAAUUAACUGUCUCGGUUUUAUUUUUUGAAUUUUAUUUUUGAGUUAAAAAGCUUAAAUUUGGAUGUGGGACGAGAAGACCCUAUAGAGUUUAAUAUUUUUAUUAAUUAUUUAGUUUUUAGGAUUUACUCUUUUUAAUUAUUAAAAUAUUUAGUUGGGGUGACGGAGAAAUUAGGAUAACUUUCUCUUUUAUUUUUAUAUUGAUUUAUAGAUAGUUGACUUGUUUAGACAGUUAAAAGAUUAAAUUACCUUAGGGAUAACAGCGUUAUUUUUCUUGAGAGUUCUUAUCGAAAGGAAAGAUUGCGACCUCGAUGUUGGAUUAAAAUUAAUUCUUGGUGUAGAAGCUGAGCUAUUUAGUCUGUUCGACUAUUAAAAUUUUACAUGAUCUGAGUU